rnacentral:rRNA from 1 species
GGGGAAUUUUGGACAAUGGGCGAAAGCCUGAUCCAGCAAUGCCGCGUGCAGGAUGAAGGCCUUCGGGUUGUAAACUGCUUCUGUACGGAACGAAAAAGCUUCUCCUAAUACGAGAGGCCCAUGACGGUACCGUAAGAAUAAGCACCGGCUAACUACGUGCCAGCAGCCGCGGUAAUACGUAGGGUGCGAGCGUUAAUCGGAAUUACUGGGCGUAAAGCGUGCGCAGGCGGUUAUGUAAGACAGAUGUGAAAUCCCCGGGCUCAACCUGGGAACUGCAUUUGUGACUGCAUGGCUAGAGUACGGUAGAGGGGGAUGGAAUUCCGCGUGUAGCAGUGAAAUGCGUAGAUAUGCGGAGGAACACCGAUGGCGAAGGCAGUCACUUGGUCCAUUACUGACGCUAAAGCACGAAAGCGUGGGUAGCAAACA